rnacentral:lncRNA from 1 species
GGCUGCUUGCCCACUUGGCUCCCUCUAGGGAAGUACUCCCAGCUGCCCAGAGUCAUCCUUCUCCAUCCCACUGACCUUCCACCCGUGACCAAUCAGGAGAUGUUUCCAGUUUAUUGGUGAAUUUAUUAGGGCUCAGAGAGGAUGACCUAUCCAAGGUCCCACUGCCAACUGAAUGUAGGACAAGUCUCUGAACCCAGUGUGCCCCUGCCAGAAAGUAGCAGGGAUCACAGAAGUCCAGCAGAGGUCUGCCGCCUUGGACCCUGCCUCUUACACAUUGAGUGUGGUUUCUGCAGUGAUGGGCUUCUCUCUUCCCUGGAGACGUAAAACCAGAAGGAUUCAUAAGGAUCUGCCAAAGGAAAUCUGGACCCCAUAAACGAUCAGGUGAUUUCACGUACAUAAGGGUGUUCUAGAGGAAAGAUGGCUGUCACCACCCUGCGAGGGACCCUUUCACAUGUUCUGAUAUGAUUAUCAAAGUGAAAGAAAAAUCCAGCUGGAUUCAUGCUUUCAACUGGACUUGGAUUCCCACAAGGACUUGAAACUUAAAUCUUCUAGAAUAAAUGAUAUUGGUACUGAAUUCAACUGAAAAGAACUAUUUUUGUGAACUUAUUAUUACUAUUAUCAUAAACAGCCCUGCUGGCCUAUUCACAGCAGUGAUUAUUUCAAUUACUUUAAGACUCAUAAUUUACUAGAAACAAACAUGUUAUUUGUAACACUGCUUUUCUUUCUGUACUCCCAGUAAUGGUCCCCACAAUUAUUUACUUCCCAUCUGCUCUAUAUUGUGUUUUCAGGAUAGAUAUGGCCCAAAUUUAUAAGACUAACAAUCUGAUUGUCGUCAGAGUGAAGGUGGGAUCAUCUUUUUUUUUUUUUUU